AGAGUUUGAUUCUGGCUCAGGAUGAACGCUGGCGGCGUGCCUAACACAUGCAAGUCGAACGAAGCACUUCUGGUUGGAGAUUCGUCGAAGACCGGAUUUGACUUAGUGGCGGACGGGUGAGUAAUGUAUGAGCAACCUGCCUUUCAGAGGGGGGACAACAGUUGGAAACGACUGCUAAUACCGCAUAAUGUAUUGAUGGGGCAUCCCGUUGAUACCAAAGGAGCAAUCCGCUGAAAGAUGGGCUCAUAUCUGAUUAGUUAGUUGGCAGGGUAACGGCCUACCAAGACUGCGAUCAGUAGCCGGACUGAGAGGUUGAACGGCCACAUUGGGACUGAGAUACGGCCCAGACUCCUACGGGAGGCAGCAGUGGGGAAUAUUGGGCAAUGGGCGAAAGCCUCGACCCAGCAACGCCGCGUGAAGGAAGAAGGUCUUCGGAUUGUAAACUUCUUUUAUGAGGGACGAAGGACGUGACGGUACCUCAUGAAUAAGCCACGGCUAACUACGUGCCAGCCGCGGC
rnacentral:rRNA from 1 species